rnacentral:lncRNA from 1 species
CUAGAGACAAAUGAGGCUGCGUGUUGUCAAUAGGAAGGGGCUUGACGGGGAAGGGAGGAAGUAACGCUGUUGCAGUUGUGCUGUUAUUCUGUACGAGGAACGGAUGUGACUUUGGAGUGUUUGUACGAGUCUUUCAUGUAAGGAGAACGUGAACUUUACAUGAGAAAGUGGACUGGGCACAAGGAAUAUACUAUGUGCAAAAAAACCCCCACAUUUGUGAAUAUCACAGCUUUCCACUUGUAUGUAAAGGUAAAGGUAAAGGGACCCCUGAACAUUAGGUCCAGUAGUGGCUGACUCUGGGGUUGCGGCGCUCAUCUCGCUUUAUUAGCUGAGGGAGCCAGCGUACAGCUUCCGGGUCAUGUGGCCCGCAUGACUAAGCCACUUCUAGCGAACCAGAGCAGCGCACAGAAACACCAUUUACCUUCCCGCCGGAGCGGUACCUAUUUAUCUACUUGCACUUUGACAUGCUUUCGAACUGCUAGGUUGGCAGGAGCAGGGACCGAGCAACGGGAGCUCACCCCGUUGCAGGGAUUCGAACCACCGACCUUCUGAUGGGCAAGUCCUAGGCUCUAUGGUUUAACCCACAGUGCCACACGCGUCCCCUCCACUUGUAUGUAGAUAAGGGCCAAAUUGGUAUCAUCGCCAACAUUUUUUUACCUCCCCGCCCCCACAAAAAAUGCAGCUGGAGGAUGUGUGUGAAAGAGAAAGAUAAAGAAAGAAAUUGAACUGGAGUUGUGAUGCAAGUGUGUUAACUCAGCCCUUCCUAGAUCCAGUGCUUUAUUCUGGGGGAGAUGCAGGGGUACGCAUACUCCUAAACUUUUUCUGAAUCUAAGUUUGGCCUCAUUGAGAGGCAGUAUUUCAAUAUGAGUAGGAAAAUGAGAGUACCCCUAAACAUAUUUUUUCCCAGAAAAAAAGCACUGCCUUGAUCCAAAUCUCUCCCCCCACAUACACAGAUGCUUUUAGCUUAGAAACAAAUAUCCAAUACCCAGGCCUGGAUUUAGGUUUGAUGAGGCCCUAAGCUACUGAAGGUAAUGGGGCCAUUUAUAUGUCCAGCUGUCCCUUCUCAACAACAAAUCGUUGCUGUUUUUUAUGUUGAAUAUAUGCUAUGUGGUAAUUCAGGGACCUAAUAGGUAUCUCAAGCCAUUUGCACAUAACAAAAUACAUAUUUUAUCAAAGUAAUUGAUGAACUGAAAUAAAGAAGGCAUAUAUUAAUAGUGAAAUAAUUAUUAAGCUCUAACUUAAAAUUUUGAAAAUGUACAUCCAGGUUUUUUUUUCUCUUUUAAUUUUUUUGGGGCCCCCAAGAGCGUGGGGCCCUAAGCUAUAGCUUGUUUAGCUUAUACAUAAAUCGGGCACUGCCAAUACCACAUCUAGCAUGGCUGUACUUUGAGCAUGAGAAGAAACUAGAGGUCUUAUGAGGCCUCUUGUCUCAGGAAGAGUGGAAUGAGAAUUAUGCCUCAGCCUUUUACUAGCAUGGCUCUCUGCUACUUCUGUGGGGAAGGAAUGUUCAUUACAUUGGUGGCAUCUGUAUACAAGAUAAGCCAAAGCACUGUUAUGCCUUUAACUGGUGUUUGCAGCAACUGCAAAGCUCAUUAAUAUGUCCAUGUAAACAGCUAAGAUUGGGGGAAAGAAAAGAAAAGAAAUCUGGGGUCAGACUGACCUCGAAUCCAGCGAGAACAAGCAACGGGGGUCAUUUGGCUAGGACUGCAGUCUUAUGUACAUUUCCUUGGGUGUAAGCCCUGUUGAACUCAGGGGGCCUGUGGAUCAUCCAAGCUGGGCUGCACAUCAGGUCUCUCAUCAGGCCAGAAGGUUGGUAAACACAUUAUUUCUUUGUGUUCAGUGAGUCACAGAGAGAAGAGAGCAGCACUAGUCACCAGUUCUAGGAAGCCAGAAGAUCUGAGGAUCAAAAGAUGAUCAAUAACACGAUAUGUGUGUGAUCGAAAGCCAA